ensembl:lncRNA
CCCAGCCGGGUGUCCUCAAUCCUGCUGUGACACAUUUAGAUGGGCAUCUUGGUUGCCUUGUGGCUUCUCACCACCAGUCCCACCCUGCCUGCCUAGGGAGGGGACAUUGCACUGAGAUGGAGAAGUUGAAACUCCAACCCACAGUUGCUUGCCAUACAGGAAAUACUACUGAAGAGACACUUGAAUAUAAAGAAGAAUUUUUCCAGCAGAUGAUGCAGCCAUGGGUUCAAAGCAGUGAAUACAAGCUUAUGUCAUGGAGGAGGCUGGCCUUCUGGAGGAAAUAUAGAUGGAGCCAAAAUAUCCUGAUUCUGUUUUUGUGCUUCCUGACCUCUAAGGAGAACAACUGCAGGGCCUGUACAGACCAGGCAACAAGAGGUUGGAGCGUGCUCAGGAGUUUUGCAGGAGAUACGUGCACAUCUGAGCCGUGGGGAUGCUGUUGUCACCCACAAAGUCUCAGGUUUUUUUAAGUAUGGAGGAUCACUGUUCUGAGUGUUUGGGCUGAAAUUG